AGAGAUGCAUUGGGUUAAAGUGUGCGCAGGCGGUUUUGUAAGACAGAGGUGAAAUCCCCGGGCUCAACCUGGGAACUGCCUUUGUGACUGCAAGGCUGGAGUGCGGCAGAGGGGGAUGGAAUUCCGCGUGUAGCAGUGAAAUGCGUAGAUAUGCGGAGGAACACCGAUGGCGAAGGCAAUCCCCUGGGCCUGCACUGACGCUCAUGCACGAAAGCGUGGGGAGCAAACA
rnacentral:rRNA from 1 species